UACGAAGGGGGCUAGCGUUGCUCGGAAUCACUGGGCGUAAAGCGCACGUAGGCGGAUCGUUAAGUGAGGGGUGAAAUCCCAGGGCUCAACCCUGGAACUGCCUUUCAUACUGGCGAUCUAGAGUCCGGAAGAGGUGAGUGGAACUCCUAGUGUAGAGGUGGAAUUCGUAGAUAUUAGGAAGAACACCAGUGGCGAAGGCGGCUCACUGGUCCGGUACUGACGCUGAGGUGCGAAAGCGUGGGGAGCAAACAGG
rnacentral:rRNA from 1 species